rnacentral:rRNA from 1 species
UGUUUAUCAAAAACAUAGNGUAAUGGAAAUUAAUCUUUAAUAACUUCUGCUCAAUGUUUUUAAAUUGCCGCAGUAUAUAAACUGUGCUAAGGUAGCAUAAUCAUUUGUCUAUUAAUUGUAGACUAGAAUGAAUGAAUAAAUGAGAUUUUUUCUGUUUCAUAUUAUAAUCUAAAAAUUUUUAUAGGAGUGAAGAAACUCCUAUAAACUUGCUAGACAAGAAGACCCUAUAAGAGCUUAAAUUAACACAUGAAACACUAUCUACUAAAAUUUGACUGGGACGAUCUAGAUACACCUAACUAUCUAUGUCUAAAAAUCAAUAAAUUUCUACUCCGAUCCAUAAAUCAUGAUCAAUAAAUAAAGCUACCUUAGGGAUAACAGACUAAUCUUCCUCUAAAGUUCCAAUUUAAAUGAAGGAUUGGCACCUCGAUGUUGGCUUAUAAAAUUUAUUUAGUGCAAAAGCUAAAAAUAAUAGAUUUGUUCAAUCUUUAAUAUAUUACGUGAUCUGAGUUCAGACCGGGG